rnacentral:rRNA from 1 species
GCAUAUCAAUAAGCGGAGGAAAAGAAACCAACAGGGAUUGCCYCMGUMACGGCGAGUGAAGCGGCAACAGCUCAAAUUUGAAAUCUGGCCCCAGGCCCGAGUUGUAAUUUGCAGAGGAUGCUUUUGGCGCGGUGCCUUCCGAGUUCCCUGGAACGGGACGCCAUAGAGGGUGAGAGCCCCGUACGGUUGGACACCAAGSCUUUGUAAAGCUCCUUCGACGAGUCGAGUAGUUUGGGAAUGCUGCUCWAAAUGGGAGGUAUAUUUCUUCUAAAGCUAAAUAUWGGCCAGAGACCGAUAGCGCACAAGUAGAGUGAUCGAAAGAUGAAAAGCACUUUGAAAAGAGGGUUAAACAGCACGUGAAAUUGUURAAAGGGAAGCGCUUGUGACCAGACUUGCGYCCGGUGAAUCACCCAGCUCUCGCGGCUGGGGCACUUUGCCGGCACAGGCCAGCAUCAGCUCGCUGUCGGGGACAAAAGCUUCGGGAACGUAGCUCUCUUCGGGGAGUGUUAUAGCCCGUUGCAUAAUACCCUUCGGUGGGCUGAGGUACGCGCUCCGCAAGGAUGCUGGCGUAAUGGUCAUCAGCGACCCGUCUUGAAACACGGACCAAGGAGUCAACCUUAUGUGCGAGUGUUUGGGUGUYAAACCCCUACGCGUAAUGAAAGUGAACGCAGGUGAGAGCUUCGGCGCAUCAUCGACCGAUCCUGAUGUUCUCGGAUGGAUUUGAGUAAGAGCAUAUAGGGUUGGACCCGAAAGAAGGUGAACUAUGCGUGUAUAGGGUGAAGCCAGAGGAAACUCUGGUGGAGGCUCGCAGCGGUUCUGACGUGCAAAUCGAUCGUCAAAUAUGCGCAUGGGGGCGAAAGACUAAUCGAACCUUCUAGUAGCUGGUU